AGAAGCGCCUGAGAAUCUGCGUUAGGGCUCGGGGUGAACAUAUGUGUUGUGUGUCCGGAUGUUGUCAACUUAUGAGACGCAAACCUGCAUUGAAAGAUUAGUCUAAAUGAUUUUGUGUAGGUUUCGGAACGGCAUGUCAGUUAGGACACGCAAUUGCCGAAAGAAGAAACGAUUUACGACAAUUCGCUCCUGAAGUGGCAGGAUUGACUCCACAGCACUUCUCAACCUCAACCUGAAGGUUCAACCGAGGAUUCAGCAAGUGCGUAAUGCCACGAUCAAAGGAAAUUCCAGAAGAUGUAAAAGAAAAGGUCGUUUUUUACCAUAAGUCUGGUAAGGGUUACAAAGCUAUUUCUAAAAUUAUGGGACUGCAUCGAUCCACUGUCAGACAUAUAAUUUCCAAAUGGAAAACAUUUGGAACGGUGAUGAAUCUUCCCAGGAGUGGUCGACCCACAAAAAUUUCUCCUCGGACACAACGGAAAAUCAUCCAGGAAGUCACAAAGAAACCCGAAAUAACAUCCAAAGAGCUGCAGGCCUCUCUUGCUUUGGCUAAAAUCAAAGUUCACGACUCCACAAUCAGACGGAGACUGGGCCAAAUUAGGAAACACGACGUCGUGUCAAAGCGGAAAACACUGCACAAAAAGAAAAUGAAUGCUUGUGCCUUGUUUGAAAAUAAUCUACAGGAAGAUUCCCAAAUUUAUGAGGAAACGCUUUUAAAAACAGAAGUAGCAGAAGUGGACGUUUUUAUUUGAUAAGAGUCCCAUCAUGCCCAGUGUAUAAAUAACAGACCUGCAACAAUCUACAGUAGGUGAUAAUAAUAAUAAUAAUAAUUGUAUCUGUAUUUACUUCUGGUGACAUAUUUUGUUGUCAGGUAUGAGCAUAAUCCACUGUAUAAAGCCUGACUCAAAAGUAAGAAAAAUACUCUAUAUAUUUAUGUUUCUAUGCAAAGGAAAUAAAAAAAAAGGCAAUAAAAACAUUCCUGCAAAUAAAUGUCUUGUAAGUCGGAGUUUUUGUAUAGCCUUUUCUGUGAGCCAUUUGUCAAGUUGUCGUGUUUAUCUUGACCGUGAGAGACCAUGGAGUCAGGGUUUGAGAAGCGCGGGAGUCGCUGUUCGUCGAGUGAACACUAGAGGUCGCUGUACUUCACUGCGCUGUGGUUUAUGACGCUUCACGCGCUCUACGGAAUUACUCUCAACGAUCUCCAGCUGCAGAGAGAGACACCUCGACACGACUUACAGCGCGGUAUAACAAACUGAUACUUUGUGUUCGGCCUCUGCUGAAUCCUGGACCAUCCUGUUAAGAUUCGGGAAAUGCAUAAUGCCACGAUCAAAUGAACUUCCUGAAGAGUUCAAAGAGAAGGUCAUUUUCUACCAUAAGGCGGGUAAAGGAUACAAGUCCAUUUCAAAGAUUACGGGACUUCAUCAAUCCACAAUCAGAUCCAUAAUCCGCAAGUGGAAAGCGAUCGGAACAGUGAUGAAUCUUCCGAGGAGUGGUCGACCGCCUAAAAUCUCUCCAUGGGUGCAGCGGAAAAUCAUCCAAGAAGUCGCAAAAAAUCCUGAAAUAACAUCCAAAGAGCUGCAGGCUAUUCUUGCCCUAUCUAAAGUCAAAGUUCAUGAGUCCACGAUCAGGAAGAGACUGGGCAAUAUCAGGUAUCGUGAGAGAGUAUCACUGCAGAAAAAGAAGCAAAAACAUGCUCAUUUCUUGCUGGGGAAGCAGCUACAGGAAGACACUCGAGUUAAGGAAAAUCUUGUAAAGACAGAAGUGGCAGAAGUGGAAGUUUUUGUUUAAGAAGGAUCCCAUUGCUUGCAAGAGUCUACAGUGGAAAAAAAAAAAACAUGUUUCCAGCAGUAUCACUCCUUUAUAAGCUUUAUUUGGUACUUGUAUUUAAUGCUGGAAAUAUACAUGUAUAAUUUUGUUCACUCGCUGAAGUUAUUCUAUGCAAUAAGAUACUUAUGCAGCAA